rnacentral:rRNA from 1 species
AUUGAACGCUGGCGGCAGGCCUAACACAUGCAAGUCGAACGGUAACAGGAAGCAGCUUGCUGCUUCGCUGACGAGUGGCGGACGGGUGAGUAAUGUCUGGGAAACUGCCUGAUGGAGGGGGAUAACUACUGGAAACGGUAGCUAAUACCGCAUAACGUCGCAAGACCAAAGAGGGGGACCUUAGGGCCUCUUGCCAUCGGAUGUGACCAGAUGGGAUUAGCUAGUAGGUGGGGUAACGGCUCACCUAGGCGACGAUCCCUAGCUGGUCUGAGAGGAUGACCAGCCACACUGGAACUGAGACACGGUCCAGACUCCUACGGGAGGCAGCAGUGGGGAAUAUUGCACAAUGGGCGCAAGCCUGAUGCAGCCAUGCCGCGUGUAUGAAGAAGGCCUUCGGGUUGUAAAGUACUUUCAGCGGGGAGGAAGGGAGUAAAGUUAAUACCUUUGCGCAUUGACGUUACCCGAAGAAGAAGCACCGGCUAACUCCGUG